GACUGUCUUCUUCAUUGGCUCUGCAUUUCCUCAGAGGGGCCUGACUGGUUGAUGAUUAUUCUACAUGUGCUUUCCAGGCUUUUUUUCCCCUCAUCUGGCUCAAAGAACAGGCUUGCAGAAAGCCCCUCUUUGGAAUGCAAGGAGAAGUUUCUUAUCACUUCUUCAGGCUACACACUUUGAAAAUGAAUAGUUGUGUAUUUGAAUACUGAUAGCCAGGAAUUGCUAUCAGGAACAGCUGGAAUGCUGAGGGCUGGUGACUGCUCAAACUGAGGAAUUCCCAGAAAUCCAGGAGAUAUGCAAAGCUUGCUGAGGAGAACAGGGAGAGGAGCAUUUUAGCUCUGGGCAGCAUCACUGCAGCCUCGAGUUCCGGCUGACCUGGAUCGCCCGGAUGGCUCCGAAGGGCAGCCCUGACACGUGGGGCUGUGUGGAAGGACUGACAGAAAUGACCCUGCAAGACCAUGAACUUUGACCAGCCAGAUGACAAAAUGUGUAACAACAUUUUUCUCCCUGCUGAGGGAAUUCAAGGCCUUUUCCUUCAUCCUCAUCCAUGAAAAUCAGGAAUAUCCUCAUCGAAUAAAAUGGAGUUUACUCAGCAUAAACCAGAAGUGAGAUCAGAGCUGGAACAGAGAAUGUUACAGAGAUAGGUAAAGUAGGUUCACGAGCAAAACCCACUUGAUCCUGACAUUUUUCUGUUAUAAAUCAAAGAACAAUUCUGAGAGGAUUGGAAAUGGAUGUGGUGUCUGAAAAAUAAGUGAUGAGGAACCUCUUUUUGGAGGUGGAAAACUAACAAGAUUUCAACAGCAGAGAAGUUUUGUGUUGAUAAAAGGAGAAAUCACAGAAUCACUGAGGUUGGAGAGUCCAACCUGUGCUCCAUCUUCCCUCUGUCACCCAGCCCAGAGCACUGAGUGCCACAUCCAGGCCUUCCUUGGACACCUCCAGGGAUGG